rnacentral:rRNA from 1 species
UACAGAGGGGGCUAGCGUUGUCCGGAAUUAUUGGGCGUAAAGGGCUCGUAGGCGGUCCAUCGCGUCGGGAGUGAAAAGCUGGGGCUUAACCCCAGUCCUGCUUCCGAUACGGGUGGACUAGAGGUAGGUAGGGGAGAACGGAAUUCCUGGUGUAGCGGUGAAAUGCGCAGAGAUCAUGAGGAAGACCAGUGGCGAAGGCGGGUCUCUGGACAGUUCCUGACACUGAGACACGAAGGCCAGGGGAGCAAACGGG